UGGGGAAUAUUGCACAAUGGGCGGAAGCCUGAUGCAGCGACGCCGCGUGGGGGAUGAAGGCCUUCGGGUUGUAAACUCCUUUCGACAGGGACGAAGCUUUUGUGACGGUACCUGUAUAAGAAGCACCGGCUAACUACGUGCCAGCAGCCGCGGUAAUACGUAGGUGGCAAGCGUUAUCCAGAAUUAUUGGGCGUAAAGCGCGCGUAGGCGGUUUUUUAAGUCUGAUGUGAAAGCCCACGGCUCAACCGUGGAGGGUCAUUGGAAACUGGAAAACUUGAGUGCAGAAGAGGAAAGUGGAAUUCCAUGUGUAGCGGUGAAAUGCGCAGAGAUAUGGAGGAACACCAGUGGCGAAGGCGACUUUCUGGUCUGUAACUGACGCUGAUGUGCGAAAGCGUGGGGAUCAAACAGGAUUAGAUACCCUGGUAGUCCACGCCGUAAACGAUGAGUGCUAAGUGUUAGGGGGUUUCCGCCCCUUAGUGCUGCAGCUAACGCAUUAAGCACUCCGCCUGGGGAGUACGACCGCAAGGUUG
rnacentral:rRNA from 1 species